rnacentral:rRNA from 1 species
AUUGAACGCUGGCGGCAUGCCUUACACAUGCAAGUCGAACGGCAGCACGGGUGCUUGCACCUGGUGGCGAGUGGCGAACGGGUGAGUAAUACAUCGGAACGUACCUUAUCGUGGGGGAUAACGCAGCGAAAGCUGUGCUAAUACCGCAUACGCCCUGAGGGGGAAAGCGGGGGAUCGCAGGACCUCGCGCGAUUAGAGCGGCCGAUGCCUGAUUAGCUUGUUGGUGGGGUAAAAGCCCACCAAGGCGACGAUCAGUAGCUGGUCUGAGAGGACGAUCAGCAACACUGGGACUGAGAACCGGCCCAGACUCCUACGGGAGGCAGCAGUGGGGAAUUUUGGACAAUGGGGGCAACCCUGAUCCAGCAAUGCCGCGUGAGUGAAGAAGACCUUCGGGUUGUAAAGCUCUUUUGUCAGGGAAGAAACACCGGCUCUAACACAGUCCGGGAAUGACGGUACCUGAAGAAUAAGCACCGGCUAACUACGUGCCAGCCGCCGCAGUAA